rnacentral:rRNA from 1 species
UCGUAGAAGGUGAUAAUCCUGUACAGGUAAACUCAUUAGAAUGUAUGUUCUCUCCCAAGUAACAUGGAACACGAGGAAUUCUGUGUGAAUCUGCGAGGACCAUAUCUCGUAAGGCUAAAUACUCUUACUAACCGAUAGCGUAUAGUACCGUGAGGGAAAGGUGAAAAGAACCCCGGGAGGGGAGUGAAAUAGAACCUGAAACUGUGUGCUUACAAGCGGUCAGAGCUCUUCGGAGUGAUGGCGUGCCUUUUGGAGAAUGAUCCUGCGAGUUACGUUCAGUGGCGAGGUUAAGUAUAACGGAGCCGAAGGGAAACCGAGUCUGAAUAGGGCGACAUAGUCGCUGGGCGUAGACGCGAAACCUGGUGAUCUAAGCCUGUCCAGGGUGAAGCUGUGGUAAGACACAGUGGAGGCCCGAACUCACCGCCGUUGAAAAGUUGGGAGAUGAGGUAGGUUUAGGGGUGAAAAGCCAAUCGAACUAGGAGAUAGCUCGUUCUCUCCGAAAUGCAUUUAGGUGCAGCCUUGAGUGUUUAAUUAUGGGGGUAGAGCACUGAAUGAACUAGGGGGCAUAUUGCUUACUGAAUUCAAUCAAACUCCGAAUACCAUAAUUCAAAGCUCAGGAGUGAGACUAUGGGAAUUAACUUCCAUUGUCAAAAGGGAAACAACCCAGACCACCAGCUAAGGUCCCUAAUUAUAACUAAGUGGGAAAGGAGGUGGAGAUUCACAAACAACCAGGAGGUUGGCUUAGAAGCAGCCAUACCUUUAAAGAGUGCGUAAUAGCUCACUGGUCGAGAGUCUCUGCGCCGACAAUGUAACGGGGCUAAGUUAUAAACCGAAGCUGUGGAAUUGCGCAAGCAAUUGGUAGGAGAGCGUUC